AGACUCCGGUACACUUCUAAUGCACAUCAAUGAGCUUGCAACUCACCAUGAACUUCACUACGGAGUC
rnacentral:tRNA from 1 species